AACGAACGCUGGCGGCAGGCUUAACACAUGCAAGUCGAGCGCCCCGCAAGGGGAGCGGCAGACGGGUGAGUAACGCGUGGGAAUCUACCCAUCUCUACGGAAUAACGCAUGGAAACGUGUGCUAAUACCGUAUACGUCCUUCGGGAGAAAGAUUUAUCGGAGAUGGAUGAGCCCGCGUUGGAUUAGCUAGUUGGUGGGGUAAAGGCCUACCAAGGCGACGAUCCAUAGCUGGUCUGAGAGGAUGAUCAGCCACACUGGGACUGAGACACGGCCCAGCCUCCUACGGGAGGCAGCAGUGGGGAGUAUUGGACAAUGGGCGCAAGCCUGGUCCAGCCAUGCCGCGUGAGUGAUGAAGGCCCUAGGGUUGUAAAGCUCUUUCACCGGUGAAGAUAAUGACGGUAACCGGAGAAGAAGCCCCGGCUAACUUCGUGCCAGCCGCCGCAGUAAGAC
rnacentral:rRNA from 1 species